rnacentral:rRNA from 1 species
GACGAACGCUGGCGGCGUGCUUAACACAUGCGAGUCGAACGGAAAGGCCCUGCUUGCAGGGUACUCGAGUGGCGAACGGGUGAGUAACACGUGGGUGAUCUGCCCUGCACUUCGGGAUAAGCCUGGGAAACUGGGUCUAAUACCGGAUAGGAGCCAUUCUUAGUGUGAUGGUUGGAAAGUUUUUUUCGGUGUAGGAUGAGCUCGCGGCCUAUCAGCUUGUUGGUGGGGUAAUGGCCUACCAAGGCGGCGACGGGUAGCCGGCCUGGGAGGGUGGACGGCCACAUUGGGACUGGGAUACGGCCCAGACUCCUACGGGAGGCAGCAGGGGGGAAUAUUGCACAAUGGGCGCAAGCCUGAUGCAGCGACGCCGCGGGGGGGAUGACGGCCUUCGGGUUGUAAACUCCUUUCGCUAGGGACGAAGCUUUUUGUGACGGUACCUAGAUAAGAAGCACCGGCUAACUACGUG